rnacentral:rRNA from 1 species
UACAGAGGGGCUAGCGUUGUUCGGAAUUACUGGGCGUAAAGGCGCGUAGGUGGCCUGUUAAGUCGAACGUGAAAUCCCCGGGCUCAACCCGGGAACUGCGUCCGAGACUGGCAGGCUCGAAUCCGGGAGAGGGAUGUGGAAUUCCAGGUGUAGCGGUGAAAUGCGUAGAUAUCUGGAGGAACACCGGUGGCGAAGGCGGCAUCCUGGACCGGUAUUGACGCUGAGGCGCGAAAGCCAGGGAGCAAAGCGGG